rnacentral:rRNA from 1 species
AAUCAACGCUGGCGGCGUGCCUCAGACAUGCAAGUCGAACGAUUAAAGCUCUCUUCGGGGAGUGCAUAAAAGUGGCGCACGGGUGAGUAACACGUAAGUAAUCUAACCCUCGAGUGGGGAAUAACGUCCGGAAACGGACGCUAAUACCGCAUGAUGCAGCGGCACCGCAAGGUGACAGUUGUUAAAGAUUUAUCGCUUGGGGAGGAGCUUGCGGCAGAUUAGCAGUUGGUAAGGUAAUGGCUUACCAAGGCUACGAUCUGUAACCGGUCUAAGAGGACGGUCGGUCACACUGACACUGAAUAACGGGUCAGACUCCUACGGGAGGCAGCAGUCGGAAUUUUGGGCAAUGGGCGAAAGCCUGACCCAGCAACGCCGCGUGAAGGAUGAAGUA